AUGUCGUGCAGAUUGACUUCAAGGCUCUUGGAAGAUUGGAAAAGGACAAAAAGACCCAGUAACAUGUUUGGACUUGAAAAUCAGAACAAGCAGGCAAUCUGUAGAGCUAUCUUGGAAAUAAGCUAUGAAAAGAUAACAUCCCCACCUUGUGAUCUUGGCAGAACCCUUCCUACACUGGUAAGAAUCAGCCCUGACCUUUACAUAAAAUGGCUUUCAGGCAGCAAAGGAGGAGUCAUGGGCAAGUAAACAGGGAAGUCCUUUCUCACCCAUGUGGACAACAGACAAAUCAUCCUAGUAGCACCUAUGUUGUUCUUUAUGGAUCUUGAGCUCAGAGAAGGAUGUGAUGGGAAAUGUCUAAGAUCUCAAUAUGCUAAGUAUCAAAUUCUACAAAAUUUGGUGAAAUGAAAGAACAAUGAGUUCUGGUGGAUACAGGAGCAUAUUGUCUGAGAAUGGACAAGAACUCAAGACCUCAGGACUGAUUGGAGCAACCCACAAGCCACAAACUCAUCUCUACUGCUCCUUUCAGAAGCUUUUGCAACCAAACCACAAAGCUUAGUCCAAAUGAUAGUCUAUGCCUUUAUUUGGGUCAGGAUUUUAGUCACUCUUUAUAACCAUUAACUUCUGAAGGAGCGUGAGGGAUAAAUUGUUACCAGAAAGGAAAUACUAUUGUUAUAUCCAGGAAAUGAUGAAAAUAUAGAUUUAUCAGUUCAUUUGUAAGACCCAGUCCUUCCCCCAAACUCUUUCCUGGUCUUCCUUCAAAGUCUCUGUCCAGAUUCCCUUCUCCCUGAACCCUGGCACUCAACCAGUUGUACUAUUUUCAUCACAUGACCAGAAGCUCUGUCACACCUAUACUCUUCUUUGCACUUGGAAGCAGUGCAAGAUUCUUCAAAACUCAAAUGUCUGGUAGAGCUUUUUCUUGUUAGCAGUGUUGUCUUAGUUUAUGCCCUUGAUACCAUUUGCAAGUAGAGAAUCUUGUCUGUUAUCAUAUUUAGUAAAGUCCUGUGAAAGAGAAGAGAGAGAUGGAAAAACAGCAAGUGAUGACUGCAGAGAGAAACCUGUCCCAUAGGUUUUUAAGUAGAUCACUCCCAUGACCAAAGUCUUAGACAUUUGGUAGUAGGAAUUUUUAAUCAACAUAGUAUGUGCUAUUAAAGAGGUGCAGCUCAUGAAAAGAAUGUAUAAAUUUCAUUUCCCGUUUUGUUAAAUGGAAUGACUGACAUUAUCUAUGCACACUGGUAUGCUUCUAAUAGGUUUGUUUGCGUGUUUUAAGACUUUGGAGUGGUCUGAUUUAUCUUUCAGAAGUAGAACUGACAAUUAGUUUAAGUUUAUACCAACUGAAAAUACUUUUAAAUUUGCUUCAUUUGUGGUUUUGAAUAUGUGAAACUUUUAGAGAAACUUUGUUUACUAUCCAAAUGAUUCAUGAAGCUGACAACAAUCAUGCUAGCGUGAAGUAAACUAAUUUAAAAAAUCACUAAAUAUGUAUCUCUCUUAUCAUAGUAGUUGACUAAAGUGAAUUUAUGUAGAAAAGUAAAAGAUGAAGGGGGUUGACAGGUGAAUAUGAAUACACAAACCAAAGUUGCAGCCAUAGCUGUAUUAACUCUAAACCUGUGUCAACAAAUGACAAAGCAAGGUAAGUUGAAUUUCAUAGCUUCUAUUAUAAAAAAGAAGAAAUAUACUAGUUGGUGUCAUUAAAAAGUUACUCAAACAAGGACAAUGUCUCCUCUAAAAAUAAAGGGCCUCAUUGAACCUCA
rnacentral:lncRNA from 1 species